CCGGAGCCACCUCGGACCGGAGCCCAACCGGCUCCGGGGACUGUGCGUGCGACAGGGUAGUGCGGCGGCGCUCGCGCUGACCGGGUACUGGACCUCCGCCUGCAAUCCGGACGCCUCCAUAAAAACUGCGAGCUCCCCGGCACCCCACCCUCCAGCACAGAGCUGCGGCUCUGAAAAGUCAGCAACUGGAGACGCCAUUGCCCUUCCCACCCUUGCGGUGGCCGGGGACGAGCCAGUCGCAGUGCCUGUGUGCGGCGGGGCGCGCCGCAGGUAGGGGACAGCAGAUCUGCGAAGCCAUUUUCUGGGCGGAUUUGCAGUCAUUUCUACUCUUGAGAGAACUGACGGGGAUAGUAUGGCGGGGGCCUGGGGGGUGCCAGAUGAUGUCACCAGGAGCAGUUGACCUGGGGGUUACUCUGUUCUCUGACCCUAACCUGCUCCAAGACCCAGCGCCAGACGUCAGUCUUUUCAUCUACAAAAAUGCAAGGAAGGAUUAAAAUCAGACCGUGAAAAAUGCUUACAGCACAAGUAUCCAGGGAGGCUGUCCUUUUCAACUGCAUUGAAUAACCACCGAGAACAGCCCAAAGGGAUCGAACUCAGGACCUUGUGCUUGCAAGGCAGGCGGCGGCACCACUGAGCUAAAUCCUCGGCCCUGUGGGUUCAAUCUUUAGGGCUGAAAUAAAGAAAUGCUGAAAACAAAUACAGUUUUGGGGUUUUUUUGUGAAUGAAUACUGGGGAUCCAACUAGGGCCUAUGUGUGCUAAGCAUGUGUUCUACCACUGAACUAUUUCCCCAGCUGUCUUGUUCUAGUUUUUAAACAUACAGGGAAGGGAGGCAAGAGUGACUCUGUGACCCAUCAAGUCCCUCAGCUCAAAGACCCUCUGACCAUCCAUGUAUUUAUUGUAGGCAGUAGUCCUUAAGGACCUAGUACCCCCCUACUCCAAAGGGCUUACAAGGGGCUUGGGGCACCUGCUUCAGCUCCCUCCCCAGUGUCAAGUUCUUCCCCAGCGUCAAGUUUAAUCUCAACCCCUUCCAC
rnacentral:lncRNA from 1 species